rnacentral:RNase_P_RNA from 1 species
GAAGCUGGCCAGACAGUCGCCGCGCCCGCAAGGGCGGGGAGGAAAGUCCGGGCUCCACAGAGCAGAAUGCCGGUUAACGACCGGACGCCGCGAGGCGAUGAACAGUGCCACAGAAAAUAAACUGCCCAAGUCCCGACUUCGCCGCUCGCAAGAGCGGCAAAGUCUUCAAGAAGAGCAGCGGUGCAAACCGUUGCGAUGAUUGAAAGGGAACGGUGAGGGUGAAACGGCGGGGUAAGAGCCCACCGCGGACGUGGUAACACGGACGGCACGGUAAACUCCAUUCGGAGCAAGAUCAAAUAGGCUGACCAUGGCGUUGCUCGCGUCGUCAGCGGGUAGAUUGCUUGAGCGUCAGGUAACGAAACGCCUAGAGGAAUGACUGUCCACGACAGAACCCGGCUUAUCGGCCAGCUUCACCU